rnacentral:rRNA from 1 species
CAAUAGCGUAUAUUAACGUUGUUGCAGUUAAAAAGCUCGUAGUUGGAUUUCUGGAGGGAGCGUCGGCCCGUAUUUACGAGUGCGUGACGUCUCUGUCCAUCCUUGCGGGAAGGCACGGCAUUGAUUUGUUGUGUCGGAUCGCAUCAUUUACUGUGAAAAAAUUAGAGUGUUCAAAGCAGGCUUUCGCUUGAAUACAUUAGCAUGGAAUAAUAAGAUAGGACUUUGGUGCUAUUUUGUUGGUUGAGCCUAAAGUAAUGAUUAAUAGGGAUAGUUGGGGGCACCUGUAUUGCGUUGUCAGAGGUGAAAUUCUUGGAUUUACGCAAGACAAACAGCUGCGAANGNGUCUGCNAAGGAUGUUUNCAUUA